rnacentral:lncRNA from 1 species
CUCAACUUCACCAAAAUGAAAUUCGUGUCGCUCUUGCUCGCUGUGGCGAUGGCUCUGUCUGCCCUGCUGGGGACAGCACGAGCCAUGCCUGAGCCAGAAGCCCUGGCCGACGCCGACCCUUGGGCUCAUGGCGUAGGCUAUGGAGGCUACGGACGAGGACGUUACUACGGAGGAGGAGGCUAUCGCGGAGGCUAUCGCGGAGGCUAUUAUGGACGCGGCCACGGCUGGUGAGACUCCGAACGAUGACUCCUGCCGAAGCUUCUGCUCUCGCUUUACCUGAAGGACGACGAACCGAUUUCCGAUUUUGCUACAUGAAAAUAAACCAAUUUUAAUUUUAUCGAAUCCCUUUUUUUUAAAUACGAUUCCUCAAAUUACGUAGUUGAGUAAGUAAAAUAUGUGUAUUUUAGUACGGCAUUUGAAUUCAUGAAUUAAACUGGAUUGCAACACUUUAAAUACUAAAGUUCAACAAUAUGAUAUCUGACUUACGAUCAAAUAUAAAAUCUGAGAACAUGGACGUCUAAAAUCUGAAGAAAAAAAAAACGAUCAUGGUAUAGAUUUUCAAAUAGGAUAAAUGCAAAAUUCUUAAUCAGGAUGAAGUGAGAGAUCACAACGAUAAGAUAAUCAGCAUAGAAAGGAGAGGGAGACUAGACAUUUUUAAAUAAAGUCUCAUAGACCGAGAAACUAACAAACUAAUGAUAAAAGCAAAACAUUCGAUAUAAAAAGGUCUAGCAACAGUUAAAUUUGAGCACUUAUACUUUAGAAAAGAUAUGAUUGAGAAUGAAUAUCUUCACAAUACAAGCGAUGUAUUUGACCGGUUCAUUAGCUACUUUCUCAAUAUAUACUUAUAAAUAAAAUGUGUACUUGUAUGUAUGU